rnacentral:pre_miRNA from 1 species
CAGAUGGAUAGAUUCGACUGUAUUCACGGCAUGAAAUAGAGGAUUACACUGUUUUUAAAAUGGAAAGUGAAUCAAUUAACAUAAUAGACUCUU